rnacentral:tRNA from 1 species
UCCCUGAUGGCUCAGAUGGUAAAGCAUCUGCCUGCAAUACAGGCGACCUGGGUUCAAUCCCUGGGUUGGGAA